AGACCCGAAACCCGGUGAUCUAGCCAUGGGCAGGUUGAAGGUUGGGUAACACUAACUGGAGGACCGAACCGACUAAUGUUGAAAAAUUAGCGGAUGACCUGUGGCUGGGGGUGAAAGGCCAAUCAAACCGGGAGAUAGCUGGUUCUCCCCGAAAGCUAUUUAGGUAGCGCCUCGUGAAUUCAUCUCCGGGGGUAGAGCACUGUUUCGGCUAGGGGGCCAUCCCGGCUUACCAACCCGAUGCAAACUGCGAAUACCGGAGAAUGUUAUCACGGGAGACACACGGCGGGUGCUAACGUCCGUCGUGAAGAGGGAAACAACCCAGACCGCCAGCUAAGGUCCCAAAGUCAUGGUUAAGUGGGAAACGAUGUGGGAAGGCCCAGACAGCCAGGAUGUUGGCUUAGAAGCAGCCAUCAUUUAAAGAAAGCGUAAUAGCUCACUGGUCGAGUCGGCCUGCGCGGAAGAUGUAACGGGGCUAAACCAUGCACCGAAGCUGCGGCAGCGAACGUAUCACCCAAGACAACUUUACGGAGUUGACGAUUGACGGAGCGAAGCGACGUCAAAGCGUUCAUUAAAGUCGAGUUGGCUUAGGGAUACGUUCGUUGGGUAGGGGAGCGUUCUGUAAGCCUGUGAAGGUGUGUCGUGAGGCAUGCUGGAGGUAUCAGAAGUGCGAAUGCUGACAUAAGUAACGAUAAAGCGGGUGAAAAGCCCGCUCGCCGGAAGACCAAGGGUUCCUGUCCAACGUUAAUCGGGGCAGGGUGAGUCGACCCCUAAGGCGAGGCCGAAAGGCGUAGUCGAUGGGAAACGGGUUAAUAUUCCCGUACUUGGUGUUACUGCGAAGGGGGGACGGAGAAGGCUAUGUUGGCCGGGCGACGGUUGUCCCGGUUUAAGCGUGUAGGUGUGUGUUCCAGGUAAAUCCGGUUCACUUUAACACUGAGGCGUGACGACGAGGCACUACGGUGCUGAAGCAACAAAUGCCCUGCUUCCAGGAAAAGCCUCUAAGCAUCAGGUAACACGAAAUCGUACCCCAAACCGACACAGGUGGUCAGGUAGAGAAUACCAAGGCGCUUGAGAGAACUCGGGUGAAGGAACUAGGCAAAAUGGUGCCGUAACUUCGGGAGAAGGCACGCUGACACGUAGGUGAAGUGAUUUACUCAUGGAGCUGAAGUCAGUCGAAGAUACCAGCUGGCUGCAACUGUUUAUUAAAAACACAGCACUGUGCAAACACGAAAGUGGACGUAUACGGUGUGACGCCUGCCCGGUGCCGGAAGGUUAAUUGAUGGGGUCAGCGCAAGCGAAGCUCCUGAUCGAAGCCCCGGUAAACGGCGGCCGUAACUAUAACGGUCCUAAGGUAGCGAAAUUCCUUGUCGGGUAAGUUCCGACCUGCACGAAUGGCGUAAUGAUGGCCAGGCUGUCUCCACCCGAGACUCAGUGAAAUUGAACUCGCUGUGAAGAUGCAGUGUACCCGCGGCAAGACGGAAAGACCCCGUGAACCUUUACUAUAGCUUGACACUGAACAUUGAGCCUUGAUGUGUAGGAUAGGUGGGAGGCUUUGAAGUGUGGACGCCAGUCUGCAUGGAGCCGACCUUGAAAUACCACCCUUUAAUGUUUGAUGUUCUAACGUGGACCCGUAAUCCGGGUUGCGGACAGUGUCUGGUGGGUAGUUUGACUGGGGCGGUCUCCUCCUAAAGAGUAACGGAGGAGCACGAAGGUUGGCUAAUCCUGGUCGGACAUCAGGAGGUUAGUGCAAUGGCAUAAGCCAGCUUGACUGCGAGCGUGACGGCGCGAGCAGGUGCGAAAGCAGGUCAUAGUGAUCCGGUGGUUCUGAAUGGAAGGGCCAUCGCUCAACGGAUAAAAGGUACUCCGGGGAUAACAGGCUGAUACCGCCCAAGAGUUCAUAUCGACGGCGGUGUUUGGCACCUCGAUGUCGGCUCAUCACAUCCUGGGGCUGAAGUAGGUCCCAAGGGUAUGGCUGUUCGCCAUUUAAAGUGGUACGCGAGCUGGGUUUAGAACGUCGUGAGACAGUUCGGUCCCUAUCUGCCGUGGGCGCUGGAGAACUGAGGGGGGCUGCUCCUAGUACGAGAGGACCGGAGUGGACGCAUCACUGGUGUUCGGGUUGUCAUGCCAAUGGCACUGCCCGGUAGCUAAAUGCGGAAGAGAUAAGUGCUGAAAGCAUCUAAGCACGAAACUUGCCCCGAGAUGAGUUCUCCCUGAGACUUAGAGUCUCCU
rnacentral:rRNA from 1 species